GAGGAGCUUGCUCUUCUUGGAUGAGUUGCGAACGGGUGAGUAACGCGUAGGUAACCUGCCUGGUAGCGGGGGAUAACUAUUGGAAACGAUAGCUAAUACCGCAUAAAAUUGAUUAUUGCAUGAUAGUCAAUUGAAAGGUGCAACUGCACCACUACCAGAUGGACCUGCGUUGUAUUAGCUAGUUGGUGGGGUAACGGCUCACCAAGGCGACGAUACAUAGCCGACCUGAGAGGGUGAUCGGCCACACUGGGACUGAGACACGGCCCAGACUCCUACGGGAGGCAGCAGUAGGGAAUCUUCGGCAAUGGACGGAAGUCUGACCGAGCAACGCCGCGUGAGUGAAGAAGGUUUUCGGAUCGUAAAGCUCUGUUGUAAGAGAAGAACGAGUGUGAGAGUGGAAAGUUCACACUGUGACG
rnacentral:rRNA from 1 species